CCUACGGGAGGCAGCAGUGAGGAAUAUUGGUCAAUGGGCGGGAGCCUGAACCAGCCAAGCCGCGUGAAGGAAGAAGGCGCCAAGCGUCGUAAACUUCUUUUGUCGGGGAACAAAGGGCGCCACGUGUGGCGUUGUGAGUGUACCCGAAGAAAAAGCAUCGGCUAACUCCGUGCCAGCAGCCGCGGUAAUACGGAGGAUGCGAGCGUUAUCCGGAUUUAUUGGGUGUAAAGGGAGCGUAGGCGGGGAUGCAAGUUGGGUGUCAAAACUACCGGCUCAACUGGUAGUCGCACUUGAAACUGCCGCUCUUGAGUGAAGUAGAGGUAGGCGGAAUUCGUGGUGUAGCGGUGAAAUGCGUAGAUAUCACGAAGAACACCAGUGGCGAAGGCAGCCUACUGGGCUGUUACUGACGCUGAGGCUCGAAAGUGUGGGGAGCAAACAGGAUUAGAUACCCGAGUAGUC
rnacentral:rRNA from 1 species